UACGGAAGGCAGCAGUGGGGAAUAUUGCACAAUGGGCGCAAGCCUGAUGCAGCCAUGCCGCGUGUAUGAAAAAGGCCUUCGGGUUGUAAAGUACUUUCAGUCGUGAGGAAGGCGUUAAGGUUAAUAACCUUAGCAAUUGACGUUAGCGACAGAAGAAGCACCGGCUAACUCCGUGCCAGCAGCCGCGGUAAUACGGAGGGUGCGAGCGUUAAUCGGAAUUACUGGGCGUAAAGGGCACGCAGGCGGUUAAUUAAGUUGGAUGUGAAAUCCCCGGGCUUAACCUGGGAAUGGCAUUCAAGACUGGUUAGCUAGAGUCUUGUAGAGGGGGUAGAAUUCCAUGUGUAGCGGUGAAAUGCGUAGAGAUGUGGAGGAAUACCGGUGGCGAAGGCGGCCCCUGGACAAAGACUGACGCUCAUGUGCGAAAGCGUGGGGAGCAAACAGGGAUUAGAUACC
rnacentral:rRNA from 1 species